UACGUAGGGUGCAAGCGUUUAAUCGGAAUUACUGGGCGUAAAGCGUGCGCAGGCGGUGAUGUAAGACAGAUGUGAAAUCCCCGGGCUCAACCUGGGAACUGCAUUUGUGACUGCAUCGCUGGAGUACGGCAGAGGGGGAUGGAAUUCCGCGUGUAGCAGUGAAAUGCGUAGAGAUGUGGAGGAACACCGAUGGCGAAGGCAGCCCCCUGGGCCAACACUGACGCUCAGGCACGAAAGCGUGGGGAGCAAACAGG
rnacentral:rRNA from 1 species